UUGCUAUGAAAUAUUGGUUUGAACUUAAAACCAGAAAUCCUGAGUGUAGUUUUCUGCCAAAUAGGUGCUAGUUAAAACCAGCUGCCUGAAGCGGAACUUUUGCCUGCUUGAAGCUUUGCCUGUGAGCCGAUCUCAGACUGAGCCCUUUCAAAGGAGAGCCUGCUCUGCAUGUGCUUUUCCAGGAUGGAUGAAGAUUCAGGAUUGUUUCAGGGGAGAAAUCCUGGCUGAAAUUCAGUGGGACACAUCUACACUCUUGAAAUGAAUGUACAAGGUAUUGGGACCCUCCACUGGAAUGAGCUGUGGCAACACCCAGGGCCAGCUGAGCCAUAUUGGAGCCCAGAGUGAAAGUGUCUCGGCCAUUUGUCAAAUGCUUAUGAAGCUUUGCUCUGUGGGAGGCGCCAUGCUGACCGUUGGAGAUGGGAAAGCCAAGGGAAAACGGUCUCCAGGAGUUUAACGUCCAGUGGGAAAGGUAAGAGUGAGAAAUGUGACCAUAUAGCCUGGUCAUCACAAAGCCAUAAACCUGUACCACCGUAAAGAAACACCGGCUGUAACCACGUUUCCGCCCUCAGACUUGGGAAGCCUCCAUCAGGGGAGCACAGUUUGAAUGGAGCCUUUCCUAGGAGUUUUCCUGGCAAAGACACAAGUAAGAAG
rnacentral:lncRNA from 1 species